AUAGCAACUGCAACUGAGAGAUGAAGAAGCUACUGUCUGGAAUGCAGAGCCGAGGGCAGCUGUCAGGGGCAACCUGUACUGAUGAACCCCUUCACGCUUCCCUCCCUGCAGCCCCAUCUCUCCCCAGCCCUGGUGCUCGUGACUCCAGCUCUUUGCCCUCCUGACCAGAAACCCUGAGAUAAAGCAAAGGGGGAUGGAAGCUCCAUGCAUAGUGAAUACCUUGUCCAAGAACACCCAGGUAGCAAAGCCAGAGCUGGGCUCCAAACUACAGAGUCAACCACAAAGGUAUUCCACCGCAUGGCAUCACCGGAACCAGUUUCCAUUUCUGACUUAGACAGAUAAAGACCCCACUGCUACAACACCACAUGUGCUUGAGUGACUGCUGAUACCUUGCCCUCAUGGAGUUCCUAAUACAGCAGCUGACUCAUAGUCAAUGCCCAAGCAACAAACUUCAUGAAGGAGCCAGCCCUUCCAGAAGGAAGUUCUGAGCCCCGUGGAGCUUCAGCGCCUAUCAAGGAAACCCACACACUCUGAAGACCAUCCAAGUCUCAUGACUGUCUUCAUAUUGGUCACAACCAAGUAGCCAGAGAUAAGGCCAUGUCCUCCCUGGGACCCUCUUCUCUCUGUUCUCUUUAAAGAGUUAAGUCUCCCAGGCCUUGAUCUUCAGGUGGGAAGCGAAGAUGAAAUCUGUCUACAGUGGUCCCACCACGAGCAUCUGCAAACCCACACAGUUAUGACUGGGAUGUUGUAAUCUGAUGAGAAAUAUGGAUUGUGUCUUUGGCUCCUGAGACUGUUGUCAUUUCCUGUGCAACUUCAGUGCUGGGGGCAUCUUUUGUGCUGGUGAUAGGUUUCCACUUCCAGCUCUGGACAUGGGGUUCUGGUUCCCCCCCCCCCCACCCUGAGUUCCCUGGAUAACAGAAUGUCCCUUGCUCUAAGAAGUGACUUGUAGUGGGCUCCUGUAUAGCUUCAGUAGAAGCUGGUUACCAGUAGGACCAAGCCAUGUUUGGAAGCUUGGGACUCUUCCAGAAAAGGGAGUAGCUAGACAUGAAGUUAGUGGUCCCUUUUGCCAGGGCGGUGCAGCUUCUAUGCAGAUUCUUGGGCAGCAGGGUUUGAAAGCGUCUGGACUGAUGAAUACAUAGAGAGUUCUGGAAAGGAGGUGGAUGGGAGUUUCAUGCCCUUCUUCUUUGCCACGCCCUGUGUCUCCUUUCCAUCAACUUCUUCAUCUACAGCUUUUCAAACAUGUGUACUAUACCAGUGAGCACAGGGGCAAUGAUGCCCCUGGGAGCAAUCUAACAAAUUAAUUCAACUUGAGGGGAGUCAUUUGAUGAUCUCAGAUAAAGCCACUGGGCCAGAAGCACAGGGCAGGGCCAGGGGCUUGCUACAGGCACCUGAAUCUGGGGGAGGCAGCCUUGGGAGACUGAGCCCUUAACUUUCAAAAGCCAGCACUGUCUUUAGAGAGAUGUGUGAGAAAUGGGCUGGGUUAAAGACACACCCUCAGUGGUUGGAAUACAAUUGGCAGUUACCGACUUGAGUGCUGAAUGCUUGGUCCCGUCUGGUAGUGCUGUUUGGGGAAGUAGUGGAAACUUUAGGAGGUAAGACCUACCUGGAGGAAUGAGCUUUCCUCCCUCUCUUCUGUUUGUCCACUGUGAGGUGAGAACCCUCUCUUUCCAUGCUCCUACUGCCACGACGACCUGGCCAAGUGCACAGAGCCAAGCAACCACCACGGACUGUGAGCCUGGAACUUUGAGCCAAGAUGAAUCUCUUCCUAUGUUGUUUCUGUCCAGAAUUUGCUCACAAAGAUGCAAAAGUGAUAACAUUGGCAUCCCCUGGAGUCCUGGCUGUUACUGUGAAGAAUGAUCUGCAGUUAGCUCUGCCAGUGAACAACAAAAGCUAUUGGUCUCUCUGUCUCUUACAACAGUCAUUGCAGAGAUGAAGACAGGCCGGGAGUACGAGUGGCUGGGUACUUGAGGGUACUUUGUACAACCAAACCAGGGUGUGAAAGCAAAUCCAAGGUGGCAUUGGACCCUCAGUGUGAUGUUUAUUGUUUAUUGGCAAUGUGACAGGACCUAAAAUCACCUGGGACGUGGGCCUCUGGGCACACCUGUGGCAGAUUAUCUUGACUAUGUCCCAUCUUAACCAUGGGCAGGUCCUGGCUGGGGACCUGGACUGUAAGAUGGAGAAAGGCAGCUGAACAGUGUUUCUCUCUCAUCUCCCUGGUUGCAGAUGGGAUGUGACCAGCUUUCAAGUUCCUGCUGCCUUAGUCCCCCUGUCUUGAUGGACUGU